GAUGAACGCUGGCGGCGUGCUUAACACAUGCAAGUCGAACGGGAUCCAUCAGGCUUUGCUUGGUGGUGAGAGUGGCGAACGGGUGAGUAAUGCGUGACCGACCUGCCCCAUACACCGGAAUAGCUCCUGGAAACGGGUGGUAAUGCCGGAUGCUCCGACUCCUCGCAUGGGGUGUCGGGAAAGAUUUCAUCGGUAUGGGAUGGGGUCGCGUCCUAUCAGGUAGUCGGCGGGGUAACGGCCCACCGAGCCUACGACGGGUAGCCGGCCUGAGAGGGCGACCGGCCACAUUGGGACUGAGAUACGGCCCAGACUCCUACGGGAGGCAGCAGUGGGGAAUAUUGCACAAUGGGCGCAAGCCUGAUGCAGCGACGCCGCGUGCGGGAUGACGGCCUUCGGGUUGUAAACCGCUUUUGAUCGGGAGCAAGCCUUCGGGUGAGUGU
rnacentral:rRNA from 1 species